AGCGAACGCUGGCGGCAGGCCUAACACAUGCAAGUCGAACGAACCUUUCGGGGUUAGUGGCGGACGGGUGAGUAACACGUGGGAACGUGCCUUUAGGUUCGGAAUAACUCAGGGAAACUUGUGCUAAUACCGAAUGUGCCCUUCGGGGGAAAGAUUAAUCGCCUUUAGAGGGGCCCGCGUCGGAUUAGCUAGUUGGUUGAGGUAAUGGCUCACCCAGGCGACGUUCAGUAGCUGGUCAGGGAGGAGGGUCAGAGACAUUGGGACUGAGACACGGCCCAAACUCCUACGGGAGGGAGGAGAGGGGAAUCGUGCGAAAUGGGGGAAGGCCUGACGCAGCCAGGCCGGGUAAAUGAUGAAGGUCUUAGAAUAGUAAAAUUCUUUUACCGGGGAAGAUAUUGACGGUACCCGGAGAAAAAGCCCCGGCUAACUUCGUG
rnacentral:rRNA from 1 species